rnacentral:rRNA from 1 species
UACGUAGGGUGCAAGCGUUGUCCGGAAUUACUGGGCGUAAAGGGCUCGUAGGCGGCCAACUAAGUCAGACGUGAAAUCCCUCGGCUUAACCGGGGAACUGCAUCUGAUACUGGAUGGCUUGAGUUCGGGAGAGGGAUGUGGAAUUCCAGGUGUAGCGGUGAAAUGCGUAGAUAUCUGGAGGAACACCGGUGGCGAAGGCGGCAUCCUGGACCGACACUGACGCUGAUGAGCGAAAGCCAGGGGAGCAAACGGG